GGGUGCAUCAAAUCCAUUUUUAAACUACAGAACACACUACAAGACAUAAGAUCUAUCUCACGAACACUAAUAUCAUAAGAGAAUUCUAAAGAGAACACGACAGGACAUAAGAUUUCACUCCUGAAAGGCCAUGGUUCGUGUCUUGAUUCCCACAGCUUUCAAAUUUAUAUUAGGUUCUAAUUUCAUCUUUAAACUUAAAUCAAUAUCCAUAACUUCAAACUACUAAUAUAGAUCAAAUCAU
rnacentral:lncRNA from 1 species